rnacentral:misc_RNA from 1 species
GUAAAAUCAAGACUCAUAUUUACUUUGAAAGAAAAUCAAAACCAUUUAGUAGAAUAUUUCUAAAUACAUUUACUGCAAUUAUAUUUAGUAUUUAAUUGUUGAUGGUUUGUCAAUCCAAAAAGUUUAAUAUUUCAUUAAAUCGUAAAAAAUUAAGAAUUAUUAUUACUAUUAUUAUAAACAAAUAAAAAUUUAUGGCUAUUAAAGCCACUGAUUUG